rnacentral:ncRNA from 1 species
GGCCUCGGGCAGUCAAAGACAAAGAACCCCUGGAAAGAACCCACCCAACCCAACCAAACCUCACCCCCGUCACCCGCGCGGGUGAUUCCGCCCCACCGGGCUGGCGCUGGGGCGGUUCGGCGGGGCAGGCUCGGGCUCGACAACCCCAGACAUGCGACGGCCCCCGGCCGGGACUCGCACUCCCGAUCGAGGGCCUGACCACCGAGGAAGAGGCAACUUCCCG